rnacentral:rRNA from 1 species
UACGGGGGGGGCAAGCGUUGUUCGGAAUUACUGGGCGUAAAGGGCUCGUAGGUGGCCAAUUAAGUCAGGCGUGAAAUCCCCAGGCUCAACUUGGGAACUGCGUCUGAUACUGGUUGGCUUGAAUUCGGGAGAGGGAUGCAGAAUUCCAGGUGUAGCGGUGAAAUGCGUAGAUAUCUGGAGGAAUACCGGUGGCGAAGGCGGCAUCCUGGACCGAGAUUGACACUGAGGAGCGAAAGCCAGGGGAGCAAACGGG